UACGUAGGGUGCGAGCGUUAAUCGGAAUUACUGGGCGUAAAGCGUGCGCAGGCGGUUUUGUAAGUCAGAUGUGAAAUCCCCGGGCUUAACCUGGGAACUGCGUUUGAAACUACAAGGCUAGAGUGUGGCAGAGGGGGGUGGAAUUCCACGUGUAGCAGUGAAAUGCGUAGAGAUGUGGAGGAACACCGAUGGCGAAGGCAGCCCCCUGGGUCAAGAUUGACGCUCGAUGCACGAAAGCGUGGG
rnacentral:rRNA from 1 species